rnacentral:rRNA from 1 species
GCAAGUCGAACGGUGAAGGAGAGCUUGCUCUUUGGAUCAGUGGCGAACGGGUGAGUAACACGUUAGCAAUUUGCCCCUGACUCUGGGAUAACAGUUGGAAACAGCCGCUAAUAACGGAUACGAGACGUGACCGAAUGGUCAACGUUUGGAAAGAACUUCGGUCAGGGAUGAGCUCGCGGCCUAUCAGCUUGUUGGUGAGGUAAUGGCUCACCAAGGCGUCGACGGGUAGCCGGCCUGAGAGGGUGACC